rnacentral:rRNA from 1 species
AUUGAACGCUGGCGGCAUGCCUUACACAUGCAAGUCGAACGGUAACGCGGGGGCAACCCUGGCGACGAGUGGCGAACGGGUGAGUAACGCAUCGGAACGUGCCCAGUAGUGGGGGAUAGCCCGGCGAAAGCCGGAUUAAUACCGCAUACGACCUGAGGGUGAAAGCGGGGGAUCGCAAGACCUCGCGCUAUUGGAGCGGC